GCCAUAGGGGGCAAGCGUUGCUCGGAAUCACUGGGCGUAAAGGGCGCGUAGGCGGGAUGGCAAGUCGGUCGUGAAAUCCUUCGGCUCAACCGAAGAACGUCGGCCGAUACUGCCGUUCUUGAGGGAUGCAGAGGAGAUUGGAAUUCCCGGUGUAGCGGUGAAAUGUGUAGAGAUCGGGAGGAACACCGGUGGCGAAGGCGGGUCUCUGGGCAUCUCCUGACGCUGAGGCGCGAAAGCGUGGGGAGCAAACGGG
rnacentral:rRNA from 1 species